AUUGAACGCUGGCGGCAGGCCUAACACAUGCAAGUCGAGCGAGCGGCGGACGGGUGAGUAAUGUAUGGGGACUGCCUGAUAGAGGGGGAUAACUACUGGAAACGGUGGCUAAUACCGCAUACUAUCGGAUAACCCAUAUGGGAUUAGCUAGUAGGUGGGGUAAAGGCUCACCUAGGCGACGAUCCAUAGCUGGUCUGAGAGGAUGAUCGGCCACACUGGGACUGAGACACGGCCCAGACUCCUACGGAGGCAGCAGUAGGGAAUAUUGCACAAUGGGCGAAAGCCUGAUGGAGCCAUGCCGCGUGAGUGAAGAAGGCCUUCGGGUUGUAAAAUACUUUCAGCGGAGAAGCGGUACCCACAGAAGAAGCACCGGCUAACUCCGUGCCAGCCGCCGCGGUAAUUC
rnacentral:rRNA from 1 species